UACAGAGGGUGCGAGCGUUGUCCGGAAUCACUGGGCGUAAAGGGCGCGUAGGUGGUGGCUUAAAGCGUGCGGUGAAACGCUCGGGGCUCAAUCCGAGUCGGCCGUGCGAACGUGGGCUCACUGAGCAUAGGUAGAGGCAGGUGGAAUUCCGGGUGUAGCGGUGGAAUGCGUAGAGUAUCUGGAGGAACACCGGUGGGCGGAAGGCGGCAUCCUGGACCAAUUCUGACGCUGAGGAAGCGAA
rnacentral:rRNA from 1 species